UGAAGAGGAACGAGUUUCCACCCAGGAUGAAGGUGAGAGAGUGAAUGAAAAGUUGAACUGGGGAGAUGCAGAGAGUGUGAGUUGAAGAAGUAGAAGAGAAUCAACAGGGAAGAGGGAGAGAAAGAGCUGAUAGAGUCUCUUGAAGCCAAGUUCCUGUUUUAUGCCAAGAUAAAUAGGGACUAGGAAAGAUGUUUUCUAUUCAUUGAGCCAGACUGAGUUCUGCUGAAUCAGCUGACACAUGUUCUGGUGGCCUGCUGCGAAGCAUAUAUGAAAAAUGAACUGAUCGGCAUUGUCAUAAUGGGGAAAAAGAAAGGUGGGAAGAAUAUUGUCUCCAUUCUACUACAAGAUAUUUGCAUAAUGAAUUUCAGUGAACAUCAUUACUGAAAGCAAAAAGUGACAAAGAAACUGUGAUCUGCUCUAGGAAAUGAAUGCAGAGUUUGCUUGAUACAAUUAAUGAGCUUUAACAUCAGUAGAUUCCUCAAGUAAAAGCAGUUCCCAACAA